rnacentral:rRNA from 1 species
GAUGAACGCUAGCUACAGGCUUAACACAUGCAAGUCGAGGGACCGGCGCACGGGUGAGUAACACGUAUCCAACCUGCCCUUUACUCGGGGAUAGCCUUUCGAUAGAUAGAUUAAUACCCGAUAUAAUGGCUGGGGAUGCGUUCCAUUAGGUUGUUGGUGAGGUAACGGCCCACCAAGCCUUCGAUGGAUAGGGGUUCUGAGAGGAAGGUCCCCCACAUUGGAACUAAGACACGGUCCAAACUCGUACGGGAGGCAGCAGUGAGGAAUAGUGGGCAAGCGGCGUUAGCCUGAACCAGCCAAGUAGCGUGAAGGAGGAAGGCUUAUGGGUCGUAAACUUCUUUUAUAUAAGAAUAUGUAUUAUAUGAAUAAGGAUCGGCUAACUCCGUGCCAGCAGCCGCGGUAAUAC